rnacentral:rRNA from 1 species
CAGUAGCCGCGGGAAUACGUAGGUGGCAAGCGUUGUCCGGAAUUAUUGGGCGUAAAGGGCUCGCAGGCGGUUUCUUAAGUCUGAUGUGAAAGCCCCCGGCUCAACCGGGGAGGGUCAUUGGAAACUGGGAAACUUGAGUGCAGAAGAGGAGAGUGGAAUUCCACGUGUAGCGGUGAAAUGCGUAGAGAUGUGGAGGAACACCAGUGGCGAAGGCGACUCUCUGGUCUGUAACUGACGCUGAGGAGCGAAAGCGUGGGGAGCGAACAGGAUUAGAUACCCGGGUAGUCCCUGUCUCUUAUAU